UACGGGAGGCAGCAGUGGGGAAUAUUGCACAAUGGGCGCAAGCCUGAUGCAGCCAUGCCGCGUGUAUGAAGAAGGCCUUCGGGUUGUAAAGUACUUUCAGUCGUGAGGAAGGUGUUAAGGUUAAUAACCUUAGCAAUUGACGUUAGCGACAGAAGAAGCACCGGCUAACUCCGUGCCAGCAGCCGCGGUAAUACGGAGGGUGCGAGCGUUAAUCGGAAUUACUGGGCGUAAAGGGCACGCAGGCGGUUAAUUAAGUUGGAUGUGAAAUCCCCGGGCUUAACCUGGGAAUGGCAUUCAAGACUGGUUAGCUAGAGUCUUGUAGAGGGGGUAGAAUUCCAUGUGUAGCGGUGAAAUGCGUAGAGAUGUGGAGGAAAUACCGGUGGCGAAAGGCGGCCCCUGGACAAAAGACUGACGCUCAUGUGCGAAAGCGUGGGGAGCAAAACAGGGAUUAGAUACC
rnacentral:rRNA from 1 species